UACAGAGGUCUCAAGCGUUGUUCGGAUUCAUUGGGCGUAAAGGGCGCGUAGGCGGCGGGGUAAGUCGGGUGUGAAAUCUCAGAGCUCAACUCUGAAAUGGCACUUGAUACUGCUCUGCUAGAGGACUGGAGAGGAGAUUGGAAUUCACGGUGUAGCAGUGAAAUGCGUAGAUAUCGUGAGGAAGACCGGUGGCGAAGGCGGAUCUCUGGACAGUUCCUGACGCUGGAGGCGCGAAGGCCAGGGGAGCAAACGGG
rnacentral:rRNA from 1 species